rnacentral:lncRNA from 1 species
AUUAAGUACCGCUCCUCUCUGUAUUCCCUCUCUUCAGAAUGGCCUGCCCAUCCCCCCAACCUCCCAGGACACUGAUGUCAGCACAGUAGCAGCUUCCUUGACAAAUAUUUGUGGAGCUGAAUAAAAAAGCAGCACAGAAGAGCAAACCCCUUGAGAGAUGUCGGCCGACUCCCAGGCCUCCAGAACUUAGCUUGAUGGACUUUGACAGACAGGGAUUUGUUUCUUCGUGUUGUUUAGCUCAAACCAGAGCUAAACCUCCUCAUCGUCUCAAAUGACCUGAAAUGGUUUCCCAAGCAACCUGGGCAGACCCUGGGGAGUCCAGAAGGCAUUCAGGGGCCCUGGACCUCUGGGGCUGAAGAUCUGCCUGCCGCUGUCCUGGAGGUCACAGGUUCCAGAAGGGCAGCAGAUGCCUGAAGCCGCAGGGCUGCGGGAAACAUACCUCACUUGCCUGUGGUCCAGUUUGGAUAGUCCCAGCACAGCUUUACAGGAAUAGGCCCCAAACCGAACUUCCAAGGAGGAAGGAUCUGAUCGGCUCAGCUUGGAUGAGGAAGCGGAGGGAGAGUGGACUGGAAGGAACUUGACCCAGGAUGCUGAGCAAAAUUUGCCAUUCAGCUACAAGAAGUGCAGUUGGCAGACAGCCUUCAACUUCAGCAUCUUCAGAGUCUGCCUUGACUUUCAAGCUGAGGCCAUGGACUUCUCAGGAGCUCCUAGCCAAUGGCUGAGAACAACAGAUGAAAUUUUGCCACAUUUCCCAGGUUGGUCUUGACUUCCCUCUCUUCUUGGUAGAGGUUAGCUCCUUGGCCCUGGCUGGCAAAGUGUCUGAAAAUUGACACUCUUCAGUGUCAAUUUUCCAAUGAGAUGGGGUAGGAGGUAUUGGUUUGGGCACGGAGUAAGCUGCUGUAAGAACAGUCCCCCAAAUACAGCAAGUUCAACAAGAUGGAAGAUUAUUGCUCUCAUGGAAAACUCUAAGCAAGGAAGGGGUCUGGGAAUGGAAGGCAGUUUGACUCCAUGAAGUGGAUCAGGAAUUCAGGUAACUUCCAUCCUGUGCUCUGCCCUCUCCAUGGUGGAAGCUGGAUCUCUGUGCUGUGUCUAUGUUUCAGUCUGCAAGAAGGCAGGGAGAAGAUGGGAAGGGCUAGCACACAUUGCUUCUGUUCACAUGCCAUUCACAUAUGGCCACAUGUAACUGCCUGGGAGGCUGGAAAGUAGUGUAGUUUCUAGUAAUAUGGCUAUUCUAUGACUAAAAAGAAAAAAGGGAGAAAGGAUUCUAGGGGAUGGAUGACAGUUUCUGCCACAAUAUGAGUGGGGUAGGAUCAGAGGAGAAAAAUGUGGGAAUAGCAGAAAUGUAGCACCUAUGAGCUCACAGCUUCAAAGAGAUGCUCAGGUGAAAUCCCAGAGAGGCCCACCUAGACUCAGCACCCUGCUGCUGCUACCUCUUCUCACCUCAUCAGUCUGUGCAUGGUAUGUAGGCCACGUGUCUUUGCAUUUCCUCCAAACAUCUGAACAUGGUGGAUCUAGAAGGCACUUUAGAGAUCCCCUUUUAUUCUGUAAAAGGAGAGGCACAGCCCCAGAGACAGAAGACUCUUGACCAAUGACACACAGCAAGUCAGAGUUGGGAUUGGGACUAGAACCAAGCUUUCCCACUCCCCAGGCCCAUAGCUCUCUUGCCAUAGCCCACAAUAUCUCUUUGAUGAUGCACCAGGCCCUUUCCCUUCUGAUACAUCAGAUGGCUCCCUCCCUGAGCUGACCACCUGAUUCCUUAUCCUCUGUUACCUUGAAAAGCAUGAAUAUACGUUAAAUAGGAAAGGAAUGAAGCAAACAUGUAUCACACAGUCGAAAAGAAGAAUAGGCAUAGGCAUGUAGUGUAAGAAAGGUUAUUCAGGGAAGGGGCAUUUCCAUCCCUUUUUAUUCAUACACCACCCAAGAGUCUUUUGAAUGCAGGUGCAAAAAUCCCACUGAAACCUGCUUACAAAAUUAAGGAGGAUUUAUUGGCUUAUAUAGUCUCCAAUUCCAUAUUUUUAGGAUGGGUCACUUUUAACACCCUACUCCUGAUACCAAUUUCUACAUCACUUGAGAUGUCUUGUUGACAAGCAGUAACAAUGGGCUCUGACUAAACUGAGACUUUUGGGCAUUUAUUGGAAUAAUCCUGGGGUGGUCUCAAUGAAAGGACUGAAGAAAGGGCUGAAGAACCAGAUCUGGAACUUAUAUCUCAGAGGAUAUCAGCAGCAGAAGAGUCUGCUACCUUCCAACCCUGAGUCUGUAUGCAGAGGCAAAGUGUGGGCAAAGGAAUUCUGGUUGCAUGCCUACCCUAUCUGAUACCAGAAGAAAAUGGGGUAAACAUGGGGAGCUAUGACAGAUAAAAACAAUCACCAUUAUGCCUUUAAUUUCCCCUAUAAAUGCAUACUAUCAUUAUCCACAUUCGCUUAUUAGAUUUGUAUUUUUUCUCAUUUUAACUUAAAGAAAUAUGUAUAGUUCUUAUUGAUGGCAUCUUUCUAAUGGGAGGCAGUACAUGUAAUACAACUUCUUGGCUUAAUACUUACUAACUACAUAACUUGGGCAAGUUACUCAACUUCUCUGAGACUUGAUUUCUUCAUUUUUAAGAUGGGGAUAAGAAUUCCUUGUAGGGUAUUUGAGAUCAUUAAGAUAACUAAUGCAUGAAAGGAUUUUAAAGUAGAGUGGUGGCCAUUUUUAUCAUUUAAAUUUUCCUCUCUCUUUACUGUCUUAGGCUGGAUUCCCAGAAGCAGACUCUUAGUGAAGGAAAUGUAUAGGGGAUGAGAAAGUGGGGCAGGGAAGGGAAGCAGAUCCGGCAAGGAUCCGAUAUCAAGCAAACUCCCACAGAGGGUAAUUUUGGCUCAAUUCCACAUGUGAACUUUGGAGACAUACGAGUCACAACUCAGAGUUGCAUGAGCAGGGAACAAGGGAGCUGGGGUAUUGAUACUCCCAUGUUGCCAAUCAUUGGUUGCAGUGUCUGGCAAGCUGUAGAAAGCAUUCUGACAAUGAGAUGCAAGUGUUGGCUGUUGGGAGUCAAAGCACACUGGGGAUCAGGAAAAGGAGCAGAGGAGGUAUGGACGAAACAUGCUACCUGUCCUCAGUGGUGCUCAUUUACACAAUAGACUUGAAGAGUGUUUUAACAAAGGGGCCAGGGUUAGAGAAAGCAUGAAGGUGAGACUCAGCAGCCUGUUCCAUCUGGGUCAGAGGUCACUCACUCUGACUCCAGGACUUUUUUCUUGGAGCUGCCAAUUUGCAAAGUAUUUCGAAAUAGUAGGCUCAGCAAACUUGGAAAGGCAGGAUGCUCAGCUCAAAAGCUGAGAGUAAUUGUUUAAAAUAUGGGGUUGAGCAAUCAGGGAUUCUCACCUGGAAGCCUUUUGCACCAUGGCAUUUUGCCAGCAGGCCCUGUGCUGGAUCAGGCUGCACGCACUGGCCCAGGCUCACAGCAGUGCAAAGAAAUGAGUGGUUGUUCCCACGGCCCAUGUUUUGAGGGUUUAGAGGCAGGCUCAGAUUUCACAGUUGGCAAGAGGUCCCUCUGCUCCGGUAUUCUACCCGUACUUCCUGAUUACCUGUAAGACCUCAGGCAUUGACCUCGGCACUGGGGAAAACCUCACGUCUCACAAGACCACAGAUAACUCUAGCUCCUGCGCUGCAUCAAGAAGGACAGGCAGAUCAAGCGUGUUGGAGGCAUUGAGAAAAGAAACAUCACUUUCCACCUGAUCAAGAAAGGUCUCUUGAGUUGUCCUUGAAAAGAACAAUCAAAGCGUCUUAUUUAGCCAAUAGUCUAAAAGUUAUAUAUUUAAUAUUUAUUUUAAGAACAUUCACAUGGCAUUUACUACAUGCCAGGAAAAGUUGAAGAGCUCUACACAUAUCAACUCAGUUCCUAUUUGUAGGGAAUGUGAAGCUUACUGGGGAUGUUUGUGGGGAUCUUGGCUGCCCAAUGUGGGACCCCUGUUCCCUUUAGGUGUCUAACACAUGUUCUCUUUCUCUUUGAUGGCCAAGGCAUGGCUGGCCAAUGGGAUGCUUCUCUCUCCAAAGGAGCAGGGAGAGCUGGAGAUACCCUCCUUGCAAACAGCAGCUUGAGGAUCCAGCGCCUGGUGCACAGGUCUGCAAAUCGCCUGGGGUGACUCUGAUGAACUUGAUUAGUAUUGGCUGAACUUGGGCCAGGGUACGGGAUGGGUUCAAGCCUGUUCUGUAUGUUUGUAAUUUGGGGACUCAGGUUGAAAGGGUAGUGUCCAUCUGGAGCAAACUCAUGGUGAAGAGCUGGAGUGCAAGAGAUAGGAGUGGAAAUGUGCAAUGCCUCUUCAGACCUUGGCUUGGAACUGGCACAGCAUCACUUCUACCCAUAUUCAACUGAGCAGAACGCAUGACACAGUCAAGUCCAACAUCAGUGGUGUGGGGUAGUCCUGUCUGCUCACAGUGAAUCGUGAUACAGGGAGACAAGGAAGAAUUGUGGACUAAUAAUUUAAUCUAUCACACAGGGGGUGUUUUUUCACAACCUGAUAUCCUGAUUCCAACCCUCUGAGUGGAAUUUUUUUUUUUAAUUUUUUAGAGACAAGGUCUUGCUCUGUCACCCAGGCUGGAGUACAGUAGUGUGAUCAUAGCUCACUGCAGCCUCAAACUCCUGGGCUCAAGUGAUCCUCCUGCUUUAGCCUCCUGAAUACAUGAGACUACAGGCAUGCGCCACCAUGCCCAGCUUAUUUUUAUUUGUAUUUUGUGUAGAGCUGUAGUCUUGCAAUGUUGUCCAGGCUGGUCUUGAGCUCCUGGUCUCAAGUGAUCCACCCGCCUUGGCCUCUCAGGCAUGAGCCCCCGUUCUCAGCUGGAAUAUCUGUAUUUUGAAGAAGCUGCCCUGGUGAUUCUGAUGUGCAUUCUCACGGGGGUUGGUUUGAACAAAGAAGUGCUUUGAGAGUUCAGAUGUGGAGCCAGGAACCCUGCCUGCCAUGGGAUGCAGGGAGAGGGGGUGGCGAGCAGCCCACAGCGACCCCAAGAAGCUGCUCCAACCCCUGGGACUAUGGAGCUCUACAGCUGUAGAGACCACCAGGAAGUGGACUGCAGGCCCCUGGCCUCUCCAUUCAGAUUCUGCAAAGAGAUCCUGAUGGGUUGGGCCAAUGGGUCAGGCAUCCAGUCAGCUCUGGCUAAGGGGUGAAGGAGUCAGGUGUUACCAACGUGGUGGCAGGGGCCACCUUGAAGCUGUGUUCUGUGCCAUGGAAGAAGGAAGAGGAGGAGGAAGCUAAGCUGGAAGGGAAGGCUCCUGGAGUCAGUAGUUGGAAUCUCAGAUGGGAAGAAACCUUAAAAGUCAUCUGGUCCAGUAUUUUCCAAAGCAUGUUCCAUGAACUUGUUUUCCAGAAAUGGUUUCCUGGUCUGGUGAGUGGGAGUUCGAUGAGAGUGGCAGUUGUCUAUUUUGUUCACCGAUGUAUCUUAGGUGACUAAAACAAUGGUUGUCACAUGGCUGGCCCUUCAUAUUUGUUUCCAGAUGGAAGACUCUCUUUCUAGUGGUGGAACAUUAGUUUUGCACUGUGUUGGGACAACCUGAUGUAGUGAAAACAAGCCUGGGCAAUGAAAUCAACAGAUUGGAGUUCAGUUCCUAAUUGGGUCAUGGAUGAACUUUGUGACCUUGGGCAAGUGAGUUCACCUCUCUGAGUUGAAUAGGUUCCCUCCUUUCUAGAACAAGUAUGAGUCUGCAUCAGAGAGUGGUUGCGAGGGCUACACAUGAUGGAGGAUGAGGACUGGCACAUCAGAAGUACUGAAUGAAGAAUUGUAACAUAAAAAUGACAACAGUAAUAUAUUUUUGUGGUUUCAGCACUCUUCAAAUGAAACCACCUGGCCAACAGGAUUUUAGUGUACCUGCUUAUAACAUUAGCCUUCGUUUCCACCAAAAAGGGUGUUAAAAAAGGAAGCUUGGAACAUGAAAGUAAGACACUUGGAUGAAGAGAUUUAUGACUCUGGGGGGCUGUGAAUUCCUAAUGUCCUUUUGAGACAUGUAGAUCUUCCAGAGCGAUGCUGCCCAAUGCAGUAGCCACUAGCCAAGUGCAAAUGGUCACUUGCAAUAUGGCUAGUCUUUGAGAUGUGUUUUAAGUGUAAAAUACACACUGAAUUUUAAAGACUUAGCGCAAUACAAAGAAUGUAAAAUAUCUCAUUAUAUCUUGAAAUUAUACUAUUUUGGAUAUAUGGUGUUCCCUUGGUGUCUUUGGGGACUGGUUCCAGGAUCCUAGAGGAUACCCAAAUCCCCAGAUGUCAAGUCCGCUAUAUAAAAUGUCCUGUAGUAUUUGCAUAUAACCUACACACAUCCUUCUGAAUACUUUAAAUCAUCUCUAGAUUCCUUGUAAUUCCUAAUACAAUGUAAAUGUUAUGUAAAUAGUUGUUAUACUAUAUUAAAAAGUUUUUUAUUCUUU